rnacentral:rRNA from 1 species
CGAAAGCCUGACGGAGCAACGCCGCGUGAGGGAUGAAGGCUCUGGGCUGUAAACCUCUUUUCUCAAGGAAGAAGACCUGACGGUACUUGAGGAAUAAGCCACGGCUAAUUCCGUGCCAGCAGCCGCGGUAAUACGGGAGUGGCAAGCGUUAUCCGGAAUUAUUGGGCGUAAAGCGUCCGCAGGCGGCCUUGUAAGUCUGCCGUUAAAGCGUGGAGCUCAACUCCAUUUCAGCGGUGGAAACUACAAGGCUUGAGUGUGGUAAGGGCAGAGGGAAUUCCCGGUGUAGCGGUGAAAUGCGUAGAUAUCGGGAAGAACACCAGUGGCGAAAGCGCUCUGCUGGGCCAUAACUGACGCUCAUGGACGAAAGCCACGGGAGCG